ACGGGGUGCAGCAGGCGCGAAACCUUUGCAAUACACGAAAGUGUGACAGGGUCAUCCCGAGUGCCGACCGCUGAGGUUGGCUUUUGCCCAGUCUAGAAAGCUGGGAGAAUAAGGAGAGGGCAAGUCUGGUGUCAGCCGCCGCGGUAAUACUAGCUCUCCGAGUGGUGUGGACGUUUAUUGGGCCUAAAGCAUCCGUAGCUGGCUGAUCAAGUCCCUCGUUAAACCCACCGAUUUAAUCGUUGGCUUGCGGGGGAUACUGUUCGGCUAGGGGACGAGAGAGGCAGACGGUAUUCCCGGGGUAGGGGUGAAAUCCUAUAAUCCCGAGAAGACCACCAGUGGCGAAGGCUGUCUGCUAGAACGCGCCCGACGGUGAGGGAUGAAAGCUGGGGGAGCGAACCGGAUUAGAUACCCGGGUAGUCCCAGCUGUAAACGAUGCAGACUAGGUGUUUGGACGGCCACGUGCCGUUCUAGUGCCGCAGGGAAGCUGUUAAGUCUGCCGCCUGGGGAGUACGAUCGCAAGAUUGAAACUUAAAGGAAUUGGCGGGGGAGCAC
rnacentral:rRNA from 1 species